GAGGAGAACAGAGACAGAGGAGAACAGUGGAGAAAGGAGAAAGAGGAGAAUGGAGAAAGAGGAGAACAGAGAAAGAGGAGAACAGAACAGAAAAGACGAGAGUCAAGGAGAGAGGAGUAAAGGAGAGGAGAACGAGUGUUUCUGAAGGAGGGAGGAAAGAAAGUGGGGGUCAGAUUUCCACAGACCACUUCUGUAAAGAGUCCUGUCAGCCUGACCAAGGCCCAAGAGGUGGUUGUCAAGGGCUUAGCAGGGCUUCAGCUCUCACAGACACAGAGAUAUACUGCUCUGUAGGAGUCAUAGAGGUUACACAGACACAGAGAUAUACUGCUCUGUAGGAGUCAUAGAGGUUACACAGACACAGAGAUAUACUGCUCUGUAGGAGUCAUAGAGGUUACACAGACACAGAGAUAUACUGCUCUGUAGGAGUCAUAGAGGUUACACAGACACAGAGAUAUACUGCUCUGUAGGAGUCAUAGAGGUUACACAGACACAGAGAUAUACUGCUCUGUAGGAGUCAUAGAGGUUACACAGACACAGAGAUAUACUGCUCUGUAGGAGUCAUAGAGGUUACACAGACACAGAGAUAUACUGCUCUGCAGGAGUCAUAGAGGUUACACAGACACAGAGAUAUACUGCUCUGCAGGAGUCAUAGAGGUUACACAGACACAGAGAUAUACUGCUCUGUAGGAGUCAUAGAGGUUACACAGACACAGAGAUAUACUGCUCUGCAGGAGUCAUAGAGGUUACACAGACACAGAGAUAUACUGCUCUGCAGGAGUCAUAGAGGUUACACAGAAACAGAGAUAUACUGCUCUGCAGGAGUCAUAGAGGUUACACAGACACAGAGAUAUACUGCUCUGCAGGAGUCAUAGAGGUUACACAGACACAGAGAUAUACUGCUCUGCAGGAGUCAUAGAGGUUACACAGACACAGAGAUAUACUGCUCUGCAGGAGUCAUAGAGGUUACACAGACACAGAGAUAUACUGCUCUGCAGGAGUCAUAGAGGUUACACAGACACAGAGAUAUACUGCUCUGCAGGAGUCAUAGAGGUUACACAGACACAGAGAUAUACUGCUCUGCAGGAGUCAUAGAGGUUACACAGACACAGAGAUAUACUGCUCUGUAGGAGUCAUAGAGGUUACACAGACACAGAGAUAUACUGCUCUGCAGGAGUCAUAGAGGUUACACAGACACAGAGAUAUACUGCUCUGCAGGAAUCAUAGAG